AUUGAACGCUGGCGGCAGGCCUAACACAUGCAAGUCGAACGAGUGGCGGACGGGUGAGUAAUGUCUGGGAAACUGCCUGAUGGAGGGGGAUAACUACUGGAAACGGUAGCUAAUACCGCAUACCAUCAGAUGUGCCCAGAUGGGAUUAGCUUGUAGGCGGGGUAACGGCUCACAAGGGCGACGAUCCCUAGCUGGUCUGAGAGGAUGGCCAGCCCCACUGGAACUGUGCCACGGUCCAGACUCCUACGGCAGGCAGCGGUGGGGAAUAUUGCGCAAUGGGCGCAAGCCUUAUGCAGCCAUGCCGCGUGUGUGAAGCAGGCCUUCGGGUUGUAAAGUACUUUCAGCGGUGAGGCGUUACCCGCAGAAGAAGCACCGGCUAACUCCGUGCCAGCAGCCGCGGUAAUAC
rnacentral:rRNA from 1 species